rnacentral:rRNA from 1 species
UACGUAGGGCGCAAGCGUUGUCCGGAAUUAUUGGGCGUAAAGAGCUCGUAGGCGGCUUGUCACGUCGAUUGUGAAAGCCCGAGGCUUAACCUCGGGUCUGCAGUCGAUACGGGCUAGCUAGAGUGUGGUAGGGGAGAUCGGAAUUCCUGGUGUAGCGGUGAAAUGCGCAGAUAUCAGGAGGAACACCGGUGGCUAAGGCGGUUCUCUAGUACGGUACUGACGCUGAGACGCGAAAGCGUGGGGAGCGAACAGG